rnacentral:rRNA from 1 species
UACGUAGGGUGCAAGCGUUAAUCGGAAUUACUGGGCGUAAAGCGUGCGCAGGCGGUUAUGUAAGACAGGUGUGAAAUCCCCGGGCUUAACCUGGGUACUGCAUUUGUGACUGCAUAGCUAGAGUACGGUAGAGGGGGAUGGAAUUCCGCGUGUAGCAGUGAAAUGCGUAGAUAUGCGGAGGAACACCGAUGGCGAAGGCAAUCCCCUGGACCUGUACUGACGCUCAUGCACGAAAGCGUGGGGAGCGAACCGG